rnacentral:rRNA from 1 species
UCGAACGAUGAUGCUGGUGCUUGCACUGGUGGAUUAGUGGCGAACGGGUGAGUAACACGUGAGUAACCUGCCCCUGACUUCGGGAUAAGCCCGGGAAACUGGGUCUAAUACCGGAUAUGACUUCCUGCUGCAUGGCAGGGGGUGGAAAGAUUUAUCGGUUGGGGAUGGACUCGCGGCCUAUCAGCUUGUUGGUGAGGUAAUGGCUCACCAAGGCGACGACGGGUAGCCGGCCUGAGAGGGUGACCGGCCACACUGGGACUGAGACACGGCCCAGACUCCUACGGGAGGCAGCAGUGGGGAAUAUUGCACAAUGGGCGAAAGCCUGAUGCAGCGACGCCGCGUGAGGGAUGACGGCCUUCGGGUUGUAAACCUCUUUCAGUAGGGAAGAAGCCCCUUUUGGGGUGACGGUACUUGCAGAAGAAGCGCCGGCUAACUACGUGCCAGCAGCCGCGGUAAUACGUAGGGCGCAAGCGUUAUCCGGAAUUAUUGGGCGUAAAGAGCUCGUAGGCGGUUUGUCGCGUCUGCCGUGAAAGUCCGAGGCUCAACCUCGGAUCUGCGGUGGGUACGGGCAGACUAGAGUGAUGUAGGGGAGACUGGAAUUCCUGGUGUAGCGGUGAAAUGCGCAGAUAUCAGGAGGAACACCGAUGGCGAAGGCAGGUCUCUGGGCAUUUACUGACGCUGAGGAGCGAAAGCAUGGGGAGCGAACAGGAUUAGAUACCCUGGUAGUCCAUGCCGUAAACGUUGGGCACUAGGUGUGGGGGACAUUCCACGUUUUCCGCGCCGUAGCUAACGCAUUAAGUGCCCCGCCUGGGGAGUACGGCCGCAAGGCUAAAACUCACAGGAAUUGACGG